GACGAACGCUGGCGGCGUGCCUAAUACAUGCAAGUAGAACGCUGAAGAGAGGAGCUUGCUCUUCUUGGAUGAGUUGCGAACGGGUGAGUAACGCGUAGGUAACCUGCCUUGUAGCGGGGGAUAACUAUUGGAAACGAUAGCUAAUACCGCAUAACAAUGGAUGACACAUGUUAUUUAUUUGAAAGGGGCAAUUGCUCCACUACAAGAUGGACCUGCGUUGUAUUAGCUAGUAGGUGAGGUAACGGCUCACCUAGGCGACGAUACAUAGCCGACCUGAGAGGGUGAUCGGCCACACUGGGACUGAGACACGGCCCAGACUCCUACGGGAGGCAGCAGUAGGGAAUCUUCGGCAAUGGGGGCAACCCUGACCGAGCAACGCCGCGUGAGUGAAGAAGGUUUUCGGAUCGUAAAGCUCUGUUGUAAGUCAAGAACGAGUGUGAGAGUGGAAAGUUCACACUGUGACGGUAGCUUACCAGAAAGGGACGGCUAACUACGUGCCAGCAGCCGCGGUAAUACGUAGGUCCCGAGCGUUGUCCGGAUUUAUUGGGCGUAAAGCGAGCGCAGGCGGUUUGAUAAGUCUGAAGUUAAAGGCUGUGGCUCAACCAUAGUUCGCUUUGGAAACUGUCAAACUUGAGUGCAGAAGGGGAGAGUGGAAUUCCAUGUGUAGCGGUGAAAUGCGUAGAUAUAUGGAGAAACACCGGUGGCGAAAGCGGCUCUCUGGUCUGUAACUGACGCUGAGGCUCGAAAGCGUGGGGAGCGAACAGG
rnacentral:rRNA from 1 species